rnacentral:rRNA from 1 species
GUGCCAGCCGCCGCGGUAAUACGGAAGAUGCGAGCGUUAUCCGGAUUUAUUGGGUUUAAAGGGAGCGUAGGCGGCCCCGUAAGUCAGCGGUUAAAUGUCAUGGCCCAACCUUGGCAUGCCGUUGAAACUGCGUGGCUUGAAUGCACUCAAGGAAGGCGGAAUUCGUCGUGUAGCGGUGAAAUGCUUAGAUAUGACGAGGAACUCCGAUUGCGAAGGCAGCCUUCUGGCGUGCGAUUGACGCUGAGGCUCGAAAGCGCGGGUAUCAAACAGGAUUAGAUACCCUGGUAGUCCGCGCCGUAAACGAUGGAUGCCCGUCAUUGGCGACAGACAGUCAGUGACCAAGCGAAAGCGUUAAGCAUCCCACCUGGGGAGUACGCCGGCAACGGUGAAACUCAAAGGAAUUGACGGGGGCCCGCACAAGCGGAGGAACAUGUGGUUUAAUUCGAUGAUACGCGAGGAACCUUACCCGGGCUUGAAUUGUGCAGGAAGGUAGGGAGAGACCCCUUCCGUCUUCGGACCUGCAUGAAGGUGCUGCAUGGUUGUCGUCAGCUCGUGCCGUGAGGUGUCGGCUUAAGUGCCAUAACGAGCGCAACCCCUGCUGCCAGUUGCCAUCCUUAGGUGGGGCACUCUGGCGGGACUGCCGUCGCAAGGCGUGAGGAAGGUGGGGAUGACGUCAAAUCAGCACGGCCCUUACGUCCGGGGCUACACACGUGUUACAAUGGGGGGCACAGCGCGCAGCGACCUGGCGACAGGUAGCGAAUCGUGAAAUCCCCUCUCAGUUCGGAUCGGAGUCUGCAACCCGACUCCGUGAAGCUGGAUUCGCUAGUAAUCGCGCAUCAGCCAUGGCGCGGUGAAUACGUUCCCGGGCCUUGUACACACCGCCCGA